AUACGGAGGGUGCAAGCGUUAUUCGGAAUCACUGGGCGUAAAGGUCGCGUAGGCGGGUUGGCAAGUCAGAUGUGAAAUCCUACAGCUUAACUGUAGAACUGCAUUUGAAACUGCUAACCUAGAGUAUGGGAGGGGGAGAUGGAAUUAGUGGUGUAGGGGUAAAAUCCGUAGAUAUCACUAGGAAUACCGAAAGCGAAGGCGAUCUCCUGGAACAUAACUGACGCUAAGGCGUGAAAGCGUGGGGAGCAAACAGGAUUAGAAACCCUUGUAGUCC
rnacentral:rRNA from 1 species